rnacentral:rRNA from 1 species
GAUGAACGCUAGCGGGAGGCUUAACACAUGCAAGUCGAGGGGCAGCAUAGGGUAGCAAUACUCUGAUGGCGACCGGCAAACGGGUGAGUAACGCGUAUGUAACCUACCCUGUACAGGGGGAUAACCCGGAGAAAUUCGGACUAAUAUCCCAUAACAAUAUCCGGGGGCAUCUUUGGAUAUUUAAAGUUCCGGCGGUACGGGAUGGGCAUGCGUAACAUUAGCUAGUUGGUAAGGUAACGGCUUACCAAGGCUUUGAUGUUUAGGGGUCCUGAGAGGGUGAUCGGCCACACUGGGACUGAGACACGGACCAGACUCCUACGGGAGGCAGCAGUGAGGAAUAUUGGUCAAUGGGCGCAAGCCUGAACCAGCCAUCCCGCGUGCAGGAAGACGGCCCUAUGGGUUGUAAACUGCUUUUCCAGGGAGAGAAACUUACGCACGUGUUGCGUGACUGACGGUACCCUGGGAAUAAGCAUCGGCUAACUCCGUG